rnacentral:lncRNA from 1 species
GUUUGUUUGUGAUGGGGCUUGGAAAUCUUUUCGGUUUUGGUUUUCUAGGUACGCAGGCUCAGGAACUGAUUCAAGAUGCAAAGAGCGCGUAUAAUGUGCCUUCAAUAAGAACUGAUCUUAUUGAAGAUUCAGGGGCGGAUUGGACUCGGAUCAAAAUUUUUAGCCUUGCGUUGGAUCCUUAACUACCAAAAAGCGCAAAAAAUGCAUAUAUUCAGACAGAAUACUAGAAGUAAUUGUAAUCAGAUACCUUUGAAUUGGUCCAGUGCCAAGAAAAUUGAAUAUUAAAUUUGCUUUCCUCUCGGGUUAUUCAUUCUUAGAAUUUAUUUGUAGUGCCACAUCUGGUCUACUUCCAUAUUCAUAUGAUUGUGUCUUCGCAUCCUUCUGUACCACUUCUGUACCUACUUAUGGAUCAGCAACAGGUUGAUCAUCCAUCCCGUUAAUACCGAUCACCAGUAUCAGGAAAGCUAGUGCUUCAAUACCUAUUUCCACAAUAUGAUGCGAACCUUUUUCAUAAUUUUCCAUAAGAUGAUUGUCUAGAUUAAGACCGCUAUGGGUCUGGGAUUAGUUUCUUCGGGCACCAAGCAAAAUUUCAAAACAGACCUACUCCCGUUUGAUUUUUUGGCACACACUUCUAAGCCAUUUGACCGUUUAGUUAAAAUUAUUAUUUUUUUUGAUUUUUUUUCCUCUAAAUUGUAAUAUUAAUCAUAUAUUUUUAUUUAAAAAAAGAAAUUUUUAAAAAUAAUAAUUUUAACUAAGCGCUCAAAAGACUUAGAAGUGUGUGUCAAAAAGUCAAACGACUUAUAUUUUACAACAGAGGGAGUAUAUAUAUUUUCAAACUUUUGGGACACCUUAUUUUUGAAAAAUUUACAAUGAUGAAAAAAUGUCAAAAAUCUUUUUUAGAAGUACGUUCUUAAUUCUUCUAAAUAGAUCCGCCACCAAAUUUUUUCACAGUUUCUGGGUGUGACAAGUCCUUGUGGAGAAUAAUAUCUCAUGAUAUUUAACAAUACAAAUCAUAUUACUGAUCUUCAUUAAUGUCAUUAAUGUUUAGGUGUAUCUUAUUAUUUAUGUAAUGAUAUCACCCUCUUUAUGUAAACAAUAUCUUUACAACUGGAUAUUAACACCUUCUUUGAGUUAUAGGUUUGAUAGGAGCUGUCUUUGUAAUAUAUAAACUAGUCAUUGUAUCAAUGUAUAAUAUAUACAGUAGUAGAAUUCAUCUUUUAUAUGGUAUCAGCGCAGUUCGAACCUUAAGCCUUAUUUUCUCCCUCUUAUAUACGAAUAUAUAGUGCUACAUACUUCAAAAUUUGUUAUUAAAGGAAAGACAAAUGACUAGUUUUAGUUAGGUGGUUGAUGUGCACACAGAGGUCUCAUUUUCAUUAAUGUGAGUUUAACCAAUCAUAUGUUGCUAACCGUCGUAUGGCUGAUCGGCGAUUACUAGCGAUUCUGGCUUCAUGCAGACGAGUUAUCGCCUGCAAUCAUGAUCAACUAAUUUGGAAUACCUCUUUAUUUACAAAAGUCAUCUAAAUUGGGAUAAACAUCUAAUUAUUUACAAAAGUCAUCUAAACUGGGAUGGAUGAAGUAUUAUUCGUGUACGAACUUGACAAUGUCAAAACAGUUAGAAUCAAGCGUAACCGCUUCUUUUUAAUAAUCAUUGUGUUUGUUCCUCAUGACAGCUUUAAAAGUACUCUUUCUGUUCUUUUUACAUUUUCCUUUUGAAAAAAUAACGCAUUUUAAGAAAAAAUUAGUUGAGUAUUUGAUGUCCUUAUCUACCUCUAAUAAAUGCACUGAAUUUUUGAUUUAUAUGCAUAGGUAUGGUAAUCAAACAUGAAAACUUGUACUUUAAAGGAUAUUCUUUGCGUAAAUAUCUGAAAAUAAAGAAACAUAAGACAAGUAUUUCUGGAAAAAAAAAUUCCCCAAAAGAGAACAAAAGGAGUACAACAGAGUACUGUAUUUUCGUGCACAUCUCUUUCUUUUUUUUCACAAAUUUACUUCUAUCUUUUUGUUUUUUGCUAAUUAUGCUAAUGCUACUUCUGUCCUAUUUGAGUUAUUUACUUUUUAAAUUUAUAUUUUUUAUUAUUUAUGUAUAAUAUUUAAUUUUAGUUUAAUUUUAUUAUUUUAUGUUCUUUUUUUAAAGACAAUACAUAAAAAAGUGCUCAUUUACUCGGGCCUAUUUGUGAAACUUUAAUUAUAAAUUUGAUUUAAACCUAAAACACAUCUAGAUAUUAUUAGAAUAUAUAUCUCGAUUUAUUUAUUUAUAAGGGUUUUGCCAUGUUUAAUUAUUAAAAUUGUAUUUAAUGUGCCAAAUAAAAUAUUUUUUAAUAUAUCAAGUUAAAUUUUUUAAUUUAAACAUGUUUGUUAAUUAUUUAAAAAUUUAUAUUCAUUAGAGAAUGAAUAUUGAAUAUGUAUAGUUAUAAAUUAUAUGUUAUAAAUCAUGCACAUAUAUAAGUCAAAAGAGAAGGGACUUUUCUCAAGCUAUUUUUCGUUUUAUUUUUCCAAAACUGCCCCCAAUCAUAUUUAAUGGAAGAAAGGGAAAGGAAAGGCGGUCUCGAAAAAUGAAAGGAAAGGCGGAUAGUUCAAGAAAAGCAACACAAAGAAGCGCGAAAGAUUCCGUUUGAGAAGCAGGGGUCUACGUGUCACCGACUUGGAUUAUUGGGUUUUUUCCUGUGGGGUAUCAUCCAAGGUUUGACUUAAAUAUAAAAUUUAUUAAUAUAAUAAUAAAAUAUUAUAAAUAUUUUCUAAAUUGAUGUUGUACAUAUUUUAAAAAAUUAGAGUUUUCAACUUUUCGAAUAUACUUUCUUACACUGUUUGGCACCGAUUUCAUGAUAUAUAAAAUAUAAUUUUAUAACUUAUUUUUUAUAUUCGGAAAUAUAUAAUUUAGAUUUUAGAAAUUUAACUAAUAUCUGGAAUUAAAAUUCUGUGACAGUCUUCUAAAAUUUGUAUAUUCAAACGAAGUCUAAACAAUUAUUUAGAAUGUUUAGUAUUCCAAAAACUCAUCAAAUUUUAUUUUUACAAAUUUGUGGAUUAUUAUGUUUAAUUUCAUACUGUUGUUUUUUUUCACAUUUUUGGAAUGGGGACAUGCGUUGCCUCCACCGAACCUUGAACCCUAUUACAGUAGUAACAGAUACACAGCGUUUGUUGUCCAAUUCUGCAGAUCUCCCAAAAAGGAAAGCUAGCUAGAACUGUAAUUCCAAUCUAAAAGAACAUGAAGUUUUGACAAGAUCAUAAAUGAGGAGCAAUGUGAGGGGAAAGUUAGCUACAUCAAUGGACAGAAGCUUAGAGCUCCAACUCUAGUCCAUUAUCUUUAACUGCUUCGACGAUCUACAAAGAACAACACUCGAAUUUUGAAAGAAAGCAGAAGCAACUUGAAGUUAAGGUGCAUCAAGGUUGUCUCAUUUAUAUCAGUAUAACUAGAGGAUGAAACUAUGUAACACAAUUCGGUUCCGACUUUUCUUCAUUCAGCUCAAGAUUUCAAAUCAUCCCUAGUACGAGCAUUGAGCAGACCAGAAGAGUAGAAAUAUCAAUGAAAUCAAGCAUCAUUGGUUUCCAUAUAAAAUAUAUCGGUUAAACUAGAAUUCGUAUACCAAAUGAACCAAUUUUACAAUCAUAUACCCUGUGAUGAUUUUCAGUAUCAAAUUCCUUUAAGCACAUCCUAGUGGAUAGUAAUAUCAGAAGUAUUAACAAAGUUACAACAAGAUUCUCAGUAGUUAGUACCAAAUUCGGUCAUAGUUCCUCCUCGAACGAUCCUACACAGCUCAAGGAAGCUGAGCUCUCUUCAUUUUCACACAUUCGUCCAGACAAUAACAGCUAAAUGUAAAUAUGGCCAUGCCUAUCGUCCAGCUAGCUUUCCAAUUCGACGCAUCCCCUGAAACAAAGCUAGCUAAACCUGUACUUACUACCUAAAAAAAAAUUAAAAAUCCACAGAUUCAGUCAGUUUUUCUGUUUUUCCAUAAAAGCGGGAAAAAUAAAUAAAUCAAUCAAACAAUUAUCGGUUUUUCUAUGGUGUGCCCAUGCUAAGCACCAAAUUUCAUGUAUUUAACUCAUUUUGAUUGGCUACUACUUAUUAAUAAUGAUGCACCUCCUGCAUAUACAAAAGCUUCACCAAUCAAAAACAAGCUAAAUAUAUCAAAUUUAGCGUUUAAUAUGUACACAUGAGCCUAUACUAGUCAAACCCAAAAUCAUAACACAAGUAUCUAGGAUUUUUAACAUAAAAAGAAGCAACUCGGAGGAAUCUAUUUUGAAAUGUCACCGUAAAUUUUCAUAUUAAACUGUUCUGGUAAUUGUUUUCUCAUAACGGGUCAAUCACAGAAAUUCUAAACAUACAAAUUGCCCCAUAAGUUUAAACCCGAACUGGACUCGAAUCUGAUAUUAUCAAUCUGUCGCAAAAUUCCAGGAGGAACAAGGAACUUCCAAAGGUUUUUCAGAAGAGCCAACAAAUCUGGACCGUUGGAUGGGAAAUCCAAGGGUCUUGAACCAUAACCAUCAUUUUCAAUUUUAUUUUACUUUUAAGCCGGAUAUAAUCCGGUCAGGCUCAGGCAUACCAGGACACUCAUACUCCCGAACAUGAUAGCCCACUUACUCCUGCAGUAUCUUGGUAAUCGAACUCGUAACCUCAAGGUAACAGGUUUAAGGGUCACUGUCCAGCCAUCGGUGACACCGGUGGACAGACACCUUCAUUUUGUGAUAUACCGCAACAGAAAAACAAAAAACUACAAUCGAAAUCAGUUUAUGACAACAAACACAGAGAGUUCGCAAAGAAAAAACGAAACAAACAACACAAAAGUGUGAAUACCUUCAUCCAGAUCCCAAUCAACAAGGAUAUGGUGAAUAGAGCAGACCAGUUUAGCACAUUUUUAACGGGUCGGAUCCAGUUGAGCAUGGUCGGAUUUGCGGACCGGAAGCUACGGCGAGAGGUUUUGGAAAGAAAACUUAACCACGUCACACAACUUAAUGUCUGUCUGCUCAAGGUGAAGGAGGACACAGAGUACUUUGACAGUUCGCUGAAAUUACCAUCGAAACCUUUUUCAUUUUAUUCUCAUUUUGGGAUCAAACCUGUCUUAUCAGGACCUCUUAUCAGACACAUAUGAGAGCAAGUCCAAUAGGUUACCUAUCCUAUUAGGUAUAAAUAAUAUAAAAUAAUGAGUGCUAGUAUGUCUUUGUGAUUUAGGUAAUGUAUUUUUAGUGUCAACUCCAAUACUAAUCCUUAUAUUUGUUCUCCAAAGAUUAUUUUAAAAAUAAAUUUGAGAGAGAAAAGGAGAAAAGGAGAGAAUAGACAAAGAAAGAAGGAGAGAGAUGAUUAUUUUAUUCAUAAAUAUUAAAUAGGUAAUGGUCAGGGGUUACUUAUAAAUAAGUAAUGGUUAGGAGAAUUGGGGUUGUGCUAGUGAUUUUUUUUUGACACAUUACCUAAAUGUGAGCUUAGGACAUCAUAUAGGUAACCUAUUGGACUUUGCUCUGAUUCGUUGACAGAAAUAUAACGGUGAAGAUUAACACAAAUCUUUAAUACAUUCAUUCCGUCAUUUGUUCAAUGUUUUUCUCGUUGAAUAAACUAGUAUAGAACAAUAUUUUGGCUGAACGACUAAAUUUUGGAAAAUGAUAUGAAAUUGUUAUUGGUCCGGCUGGCCUUUCAAAAUUGUUGGAUGCAGGGGAAUACUUUAAGGAGAAGUUUCGGAGAUAUUUUUCUAAUUUUUUGAAAAUUUUGAAUUAUAAAUGUUGAAAAUAAAUUAUUAUUUUUUUUGAGAUAUUGGAAGAAAAUUUUAAAAUUAUCUUUUCUGAUUAUGAAAUUAUACCCUUCAUAUGAUGACAUUCACUUUACAUGAUAUUUUCCUAAAUAAAGAAUUGUAGCUGAAUAGCCGCUGCCAGGAGUUUAUUUCGUUCAAAAAAAUUUACCAUCUACCACUCGCAUACAAGUCAAAGUGAUUCAAUGGAUUUACUAUGAGCUAUUAUGCGUGGUUUAUUUUUUAAAAUAGUGAAAGAUGUUAUAUAAUUUACCAAGAAUAAUUUAAAGCAUAAUGUAUCAUUUAAUGAGGGAAGAGAUUAAGAUAUAAAUUUCUUUUAAAUCACAGUCAUAAAUUUCAAAGUGAAUCUGACGAAUCUCUAAUUUUAGUAUUCUACUCCUAUUUACUAUUUGUCUCAAUCAUUUUUUUUAUAUUUUCCUUUUUGAGCUGUCACAUUCAAUUUUUACAUUCUAAAACUUACCAAAAUUGGUCAAUUGGUCCCAUCACUUUCCCACUUUUUUACCUUUUCAUACUCCCUCCGUGAGGCUCCGUCACCCUCAAUUGUUCAUAUUGGGAGACGGGGACUCAACACACAUUCCCUUGAUAAAUUCCCUUGAUAAAUUCCCUUGAUAAAUUCCCUUGAUAAAUUGUUUUAAACCUUUUUCUAUCUAAAUAAAUAUUUAUUAUCUAAUUUUUUAUAAAAAAAAAUUACGAAACUAUAUUUUAUAUGUGUCUUAAAAUGCUUGUCGAACAAUUCAAAAAAAUAUAUAUAUAUUUUAACCUGGGUACUCAAUUGUACGUAAACAAAUGACCAUAAUAGAUGGACAGUAAAAUUAGUUUCAAACACAUGGUGGGUGAAUCUAAAAGGAAGAAAAGUCAUGAGGAAUAUAUUCUGGCGGGGAAGAAAAAGAAACAGAAGAAUGUCGUCCGGGAAUGUAGGGCCGUAGGUGUUUCUGACUUGGACUAAAAUAUGACCACUAGUUGCUACCGGUUUGUUUAAUCAUUCGAUCUGGCUUCGAUUAGUGAUGUGUAGGCUCCACAUAAUUGAUUUGGACUGAUAUUUCAUGGUACACACUUUUUUAAUUCCAUUCAUUGCCUAUCUUGUUCAUUGCACUUUUAGUAGGAAUUUAAGUAUAAUAAUAACGGUUUGUCUAGUGUGUGCCCAUGGGCACAUGCUAAGCACAAAAAUUUAUAGUUUUAGAGGGUUUUGAUUGGUGUGGUUGUUGUAAAUGCAGGGGGACCCAUCAUUAUUGAAGAGUGUAAACCAAUCAAAACCCUCCAAAUUCAUAGAUUUUGGUGCUUAGCAUGUGCCCAUGGGCACACCAUAGAAAAACCGUAAUAAUAAUAAUACAAAUCUUACACCGUUCGGAUAUUAACUACUGUUAAUUCACAACAAGUUACUCCCUUCGUCCCUCCCAUUUCUUUACACUUUUUUUUAGCUGCCUCAUCCAAUUCUUUACAUUUCAAAACUUACCAAAAAUAGUUAAUGGGUCCCACCACUUCUCCAUUUUUCUUUCAUUUUCAUUUUUCACACUACUUUUACUCCACUAUCUUCUUUUUAUACAUUACAAAUCAAUGGGUCCCACCACUUCACCCACUUUUCUUACUCUUUUCCACUACUUUAUACAUAUUUCUCAACCUCGGUGUCCAACCCAUUUGAUAAGAAAUAAGAGGGACGGAGGGAGUAUGAUUUUAGUUGACUAUCAAUUUUUUAAUAAUAUAGAUUAAAAUAAUUAUAUUAAUUUAUUAAUAAAAUUAUUAAUAAAAUUUAUUUCUUAAAAAUAGAAAAAAAGAAAAAAUACAUAAUAUCUUCUCUGUAUAUAGUCAAAUUAUCAAAUACAAGCCAAAUCUAUAAUUUUUGAACAAAAAUAUUAAAAGAGUUGCUUUUAUGUCAACAGCUUUUUCAAAUACUCUCUGUGUUUUCAGUACAUGACUGUUUGAUUUUCAGCGAUUGCUCUAAUUGAUUGGAGUAUAUAAUACGUAUAAGUUUUUUAGUUUCAACUUGGUUAAUUUAUAUAUACAUAUAUAUAUUCUUUCAAGUGUUGUAAAAAGUGGGAAUCGGACUUAAUCGGUGAAGUUACGGAACAAAGAUUAAUCGGAGAUUAAUUGAAUUGAUCGGGGAUUAAUCGGAUUGAUCGGUGAUUAAUCGGAGAUUUAAUCAGUUCGGCGAGCUACGGAACAUGGAUUAAUCGUGAUUAUUCACCGAUUUUUAGAACAGAGAUUCUUUCAAUAAAUUUUCUAAUAUUUACAUACAUUUUUAAAAUUAUGUAUGUGGGUUUUUAUUUUUAAAACUAUGAAAAAGUAAUUUUCCAGAAAAUGAAGGAAAGUCGAUAGGAAUAUACUCAGGUGGCAGGAAGAAAAAUAAAACAGAGGAAUGUCGGCGGAGAUGGACGAGCGUACGUGUUGCUGACUUGGACCAAAAAUGACCACCAGUUAUUAAUGUUUUGUUUAAUCAAUCAAUUUUUUUAAUCAUUUAUCCGGGUUCGAUACUUCGAUUCCUACCGAUUUGUCAUCUCCGCACAAAUAUUUUGACCAAGACUUCUCGAUCCCACUUUUAAUAGAUGGAUACUCCUUCACGUCACUUUCAAGAUUUAUGUUUUUAAUAAUCUCGCUAUAAAAAAAAUUUAAUCACCUUGUAGUGCAAAUUUCACAUCACAUUUUAUACUCCUUCUGUCUUAUUCAUUUCUUUAUAGUUUCUUUCUCGAGAUGUGUCGUCUAAUUUUUUACAUUUUAAAAUUUAUCAAUAAUAUUUAAUGGGUCUCACCACUUUUCCACUUUUCCUUCAUUUUGAUGUUAAAUCCACUUCAUUAUUUUCUUUUUAUACAUUAAAAUUCAAUGAGUUCUACCACUUCAUCCCAUUUUUUUUUUUGUUUUUUUACUACUUUAUACAUAUAUUUCUUAACUUCCGUGUCCAAACCAAACGUAAAGAAUUGGUUGGGACGGAGGGAGUAUCGAUUAUUGUGUAAAUGAAUUUACGCAGUUUUCAUAAGUUCUCAAACGAAUGAUCAUUAAUUCUUAAUAAAUUAGUAAAAAAAUUAAUUGUGCUCUUUCAUAAUCAACCCAAUUAUAAUAACUGAAAUAUUUGAUUAUUUUUAAUAUGAAUGAAAUUUAUAAAAGGAAUAUAUUGAAAGGAGCGAAGAGACCAGAAACUAUUACUGACCAAACAAAAACCUUUUUACAGUAGUCACAAAGUUUCAAAAGUUGUAAUAUUUGCCGUCCAACUCUGAAUAUGUCCUAAAAAAGAAAGCUAGCCAGGGCUGUAAUUGCUUGGCCCAUUUUCAGCUCCCUAUAUUGGGGGAGGGAUAAUCAUUCAGUUCCAACUUAUGAACAUUUACCAACAGCACUGUUACAUCCUUUAUUCAGCUCAUGAUUAAAAAUAAUCUCAAGUAUGAUCAGUGAAAAAUAACAUAAAAAAACAUAGGAUUUUGUUAUAUGCCGGGUCAUAACUUGAGACUAAUGUUAAAACAUGCACAGCUUUGCAACUUACAUAUACAAAAACUAAAAGAUCCAACAUUAGUCCUAACUUUAAGUAACUUUUGCCAAGAAACAUGUAACCAGAAACAUUGGAAAUUCGAUGAGAUCAAGCACGAUUCGUUUAGGAUUCGCAUACCAGAUGAAUCAAUUUUACAAUGAUUGUCCAUGUGAUGGUUUGAAGUAUCAAACCCCUUUAAGCAUAUGCAUAUGGAUAAUGUAUCAGAAGUAUUAACAACCUUACAACAGGAUUCUCAGUAAACAGUGCCAUUACGAAAUUCUAUGUUGUUCCUCCUCGAAGGAUCCAGUAGAGCUCGAGCAAGUUGAGCUCUCUUCAUUUUCAGACAUUCCUCCAGACAAUAACAGCUGAAGGUAAAUAUGGCAAUGCCUACGGUCCAGCUAGUUUUCCAACUUGGCACAUCCCCUGGAAGAAAGCUAGCUAGACCUGUAAUUGCUAGCUGGAAAACAAUUCCACAGACUCAGUCGAUUUCUCUAUUUAACCUUAAACCGGAAAAAGAAUAAUAAAUCAAACAAUCAUAUUACAACACAAGACGUAAAAACAAUCUAGACACAAGUAUCUGUAUUUUUAACACAAGGAGAAGCAACUUGGGCAAAAAAACUUCUGAAAUGUCACCAGAUAUUCGCAUAUGAAACUUACAUCAAAAUGUUCUUACUAGAGUAAUUGUUUUUUCGCAAAGGGUAAACUGCAGAAAUUUUUAAACAGGCAAAUCUUCCAAUUGGUUCAAACCCGGGACCUGUCAUCACUAAAAGGAUAGGAGUAUCCAUUAUUAGGCUAAGCCUUGCUGACUAAAAACAUUAUGUCAUCACAAGGAAACAAACAGUUAGCUGUAUCAAAUGCUACAAGCUUCUAGCUCGAACUGGACUCAAGUCCAAUAUAUCAAUCUAAAACUUAAGGGUUUUCAGAAGAAAGGAUAAACAACUGCAUUUUAGAGUCAUAUUAAGGACAUACAAUCUCUUGAUGGGGGGCAAUUCAGUCAUGAUAUACCACGACAGAAGAAUCAAACUACAGCAAUUCAAUAUUCCUCACUAUAAGCUUCUCUAGCUAUUCAAAUUAACAUUAAAUAAUCUAAGCAGAGACAAAGCUCGAAAAAGCUCUGGUUUUUACAGCUGCCUAUAUCUUCUUCAUUUUCAUGAUCAUGAAUGAGAUGAAUAUCCGUAUUUUUUUAAUAUAUCUUUCGGCAUUUCUAAUCUUCCACCCCUGGAAAAUCCGACAAAUCAUAACAUCUUCCUAUCACAUAAAAAUUUAAUCUUUCACAAAAUCGCUAUAUCUUUACCUCAAAAUUCCACACAAUCUCACCUAAGCUCCAAAGGGAUAGCAGUCAAAGAUAUGAUUAAAAACCAAGGAUUAAUUUUAAUACUCUAAUUAAAAUUAAGUUCUCACAAGUAAAUGACCAUGACUUAAACAACUUGAAUUCACUGUAGCAUGAUUUAUACACAAAGUGAAAAAAGACCCAAGUGUUAAAGAUUGAGGUUACAAAGAAAGACUACCUUAAUCCAGAUCCCAAUCAGCAAGGAGAUGAUGAACAGACCAGACCAGCUUAGCACAUCCUUAAUCGUGUUUAUGGUACUAAUGAAGAAGUCACUGCUGCUGAAGAGAUUAUAACAUCGAUUCCACAGACGCGACAGCGUGACUGGUCGGAUCCAAUCAGCCAUCGUCGCCCCUUGCUGCUUGAAACCUGUGGAAAGAGUUGUGGAGACCAAAAUUGACAAUGUCAAACAGCUUAAUGGGGGGUGAGUGACAUGAAUAUUUGGUGGAUAUGUGUGUGUCUCAUAUAGUCGUUAAAAUUAGUCAAUAGCCCCUCCGUCUUUUUAUCACUUUUUUGAUUUGAUAUGUCGGGACUGUUCAUAACGUAAUGCAAAUUAUUAAUUUGUUAUAGAACUAAAUAUAUUUAUGAGCGAUAUUGUGGAAUUUGUAUUCUUUAAUAUGAUGAAAUUUAUUUUAUUUAAUAUUAAUAUAAAAUUAAAGAUGUUAACAAUCAAAACUAUAUUGAUAAACAUGAUAAAGUCACAUAGGAAAAAAGGUUAAGAGGCCGAGGGGUUAUAUUUUUUAUCUUACGAUUUUUUCCUGGUAUACCCAUGAGAACAUAUUAAACACCAAAUUUUAUACAUUUAACUCAUUUUAAUUAAUUAUUAAUGUAUUUAAUAAUGAUGGACCUUUACAUAUACAAAAACUUCCACCAAUCGAAAACAAGCUAAACGCAUCAAAUUUAACGCUUAGCAGGUACACGCAGACACAGGUGAAACCCUUUACUCCCUCCAUCCCAAUCAAUUCUAUACAGUUUCCUUUUUGGGACGUCCCAUCAUUUCUAUACAUUUCCAAAAUAGCAACUUUUUACAAUAUAAAACACUAUUACACCCACUACUUUCUUCCACUGUCUCCAUUCUAUAAUAAUAAAAACACUAUUAUACCCACUACUUUCCUCCACUAUCUCAAAUCUAUUAUUAAAAAUAAAUGGGUCCCACCACUUUACAUACUUUUCACCUGACUUUACUCAUUUCUUACACUUUUUCUUGGUCUCCGUGUCCAAUCACAAUGUAUAUUAUUCAUCGGGACGGAGGAAGUAUCUUAUAUGCAUAAAUAUCAGAAGACUCCUUAAUCUGACCGUUUAACUUUUUUUCAGUGGAUAAUUCUAAUAACCCAGGGUUUCUAAAUAAAAUAAUAGGAAAGUUGUAAAAAUAUUCGUGAGUUUUUUAUUUACAAACAGUUAAAAUCCACUUUUGUGAUAAUCGAGGUUGUUCCACGAUAUUUUUGAAUGUUUCUUUUGCGACUUUGGUAUUUUUGGAAAACAAUUCAAAAGAAUUUUGACAAAAGAAUUUUCAACAACAUUCUAAUAAUUUAUAAAUAAAAAUAUAGAAUAAAAUUUCUCAAAAUUUAGAACAUUAUGUCCAAUAACAAAUAAUAAUUCUUAUUUAACUUAUUUUGUAAUACAUUAAAUUAAAAAUUUAUCAGAAGGCGAAUAGUAUGAAAAAGGAAUUAAAUAAAUAUUUUUAUUUUAUUUUAAAAGUAAAAUAAGAAAUGAUCUCCCGAUCUAAAUUGAAUAAGUAUUUCUGGUAAGGAUUUGUCUUACAAUAAUGUGGGAGUGACAUUUUCUUACGUCUGGUAGCUUUUACGAGUAUCAAAUAUAGUAUAAUUAUUUUUCUUACAAAAAUCUAACAAAGAUCUUUUAAACACUUUCUCUUUUUUCUUUAAAUUAUUACAAAGAUCUUUCUCUUUUACAAAGAUCCCCUGUACCCAUUUCCUUGUUUGAACUAGGACUCUGAAACUAGGCAUUACAUACGUGUCAGAGCUUCACUUCAAAUCUACUUUCUUUAACUGCUGCAACAAUCUAGAAAGAAGAAACUUCAACUCUAGAAGAAAGCAGAGUCAGCUCAGAAUUAGAGUCGAUCAAAACAAGCAAAUCAAGUAAAGUACAUAUUUUGUACCUGUCCAAAUUCAACUUAUAUGUAAUACUAGCAAUCAAGAAGUCACUUUUACCUAUUAUUGAUCUAUUAUUUCCCAGAUUCAUGAGUUGGAUCCUUAACUUCAAUCAACUAUCGUAUCAAAUGCAUAUAUUCAUAGAAUUUAAAAAACUAUUUGAAUUACACACACUUUGCAUUAUUCCUGUGAUAAGAAUAUCAAAUCUAUUGGAGGGAAUUCUGAAGAGUGUUAUACUAAUUCAAGAUGCAGAUUUGGAUUCAAAGGAGAAAACAACUUUAGAUAGAAUUCCUAAACAAUCAUUCAUGUCUGAUACAAGGCAGAGCACUCACAUAUAUGGUGAGGAAAAUAGACUACGUGGAAUAUUCUAACUAACAGAAUUAGAAUGCAGACAAGUAGUGCACACAGGCAACGUCUUUAUUAGCAGAGAAGUGGUCCAACAGGAGACAGGUGUCAAGGCAAGAUGAUGAGCAGAAUUCCCUCCAAUACUCCCCCUCAAGCUGAGCUGGAGGCUCCAAGCUUGUCCAAAAGUUUAUAGUGCUGCUUAACAGAAAGCGGCUUGGUCAGAAUAUCCGCAACUUGUGAUUGAGAGGGAACAUGAACUGUUUUAAUUUCUCCAUUCUUGAUCUUGUCACGGACGAAGUGGCAGUCGAUUUCCACGUGUUUUGUGCGCUCAUGCAUCACAGGAUUAGCUGCAAUUGACAAGGCUGCCAUGUUGUCACAGUGAAGAGUUGCAGGUGGCAAGGAACUGAUCCCCAUAUCCUUGAGAAGAGAAGACAACCAGGUUAUCUCGCAUGCUGUCAUUGCCAUAGAGCGGUAUUCCGCUUCUGCAGUUGAACGGGCAACAACAUUCUGUUUCUUCGUCUUCCAACUAACAGGGGAGGUGCCAAGGAGUAGACAAUAACCAGAGGUGGACCUUCGUGUUACAGGGCAGUUGGCCCAAUCACUGUCUGAAUAGGCAUGAACAGCCACCUCGGAUGCAGAAGUCAGCAGAAUUCCCUGAGAGGGAUUACCAACAAGAUAACGAAGCAAGCGCUUGGCAGCCUGCAUGUGUGCACUUGUUGGUUGGUGCAUAAAUUGGCUGAGGAUGUGAACAGAAAAGGUUAUAUCCGGACGGGUCACUGUGAGAUAAAUGAGCUUUCCAAUCAAACGUUGAUAGGAAUGAGGAUCCGCCAGAGGACUUCCAGUGGUUGGAGUCAGUUUAAGAUGACAAUCCAUGGGCAGUUUGAGAGGAGAAACAGCGGCCAUACCAAACUCUUGCAAGAGAUCAAGAGCGUACUUUUUCUGAGACACAAAGAAACCAAGAGGAGAUCUGGAGACUUCUAGCCCCAAAAAAUAACUCACAGGGCCUAGAUCCUUCAUAUGAAAUUGCUUAUUCAACAUCUUUUUUAAGCAUUCUAUCUCAACAUUCGAGUCACCAGCAAUUAAGAGGUCAUCAACGUAAACAAGAACCAAGGUGAUAGAGUCACCUGAACACUUGGUGAAGAGGCUAUAAUCAGUACGAGAUUGUACGAAGUUCAGUUUGAGCAGAGUUUCAGACAGUUUUCUGAACCAUUGGCGAGGCGCCUGCCGAAGUCCAUAGAGUGAUUUCAACAAUCGACACACCAGGUCUAGAGUUGAUAAAUUGUCAGAACCAGCAGCUGAUAUUCGAGAUCCCCAACCAGUGUACCCUUGAGGCAUCUUCAUGUAAAUAAUUUCUUCCAAGUCGCCAUGAAGAAAGGCGUUUGACACGUCCAUCUGCACUGUUUGCCAAUUCUGAAUGGCUGCAACUGCUAACAACGUUCUUAUAGUAGUUAAUUUCGCCACUGGGGCGAAUGUCUCUGCGUAAUCGAUCCCGUAUGUCUGUUUGCAGCCAAGAACAACCAGCCUCGCUUUGUAACGCUCGACUGACCCAUCUGGGUUGUAUUUGAUCUUGAAAACCCAUUUGCAACCAAUGGAUUUUUUACCAGUGGGAAGAGAUGUAACAACCCAAGUGUUGUUAUCUUCCAAGGCAGUCAGUUCACUGUUCAUGGCGUCAAUCCAUUGACGAUGCUGCAGGGCCUGUUUGAAAUUGCUGGGUUCACAGCUUGUGGUCACCUUCGCAGAGAAACAGUGAAACUUAUUUUCAAGUGGGAGGUCUACAACUUGCACAAUGUUCGAGGCUGACUUAACAUUGUUGACAUAGUUAUCUAGCCAUGCUGGUUUCUUAGUUUGCCGAGUAGAGUGUCUAAUAUCUGGUUGAUGUGGAGGCGAUGGAGGAGCAUCCGUCUCUGCAAUUUCAGAAACAAUCACAUCAUUAUCAGCAUAAGGCUGUGUUGUCACAUUUGGCAUUGGCACUGGUGUAGGUUGAAUAUAGCUGUCAGGGCUGGACUUGUUCAAGGGGUAGAUGUUCUCAUGGAACAGCACAUCUCGAGACACAAAAACUUGCAUAGUAACAAGGUUUAACAAGUUGUAGCCCUUCUUUAAAAAUGGGUAUCCUACGAAUACACAUGGCACACCUCGUGGACUGAAUUUAUCAGUUGUAUUAGAAGGAUUUGAAGCAAAAGCCAGGCAUCCAAAAGACUUCAUAUUCUCAUAGUCCACAGGUUCUUCAUAGAGCUUUUCAUAAGGAGAACAAUUACCUAACACCGGUGUUGGCAGCCUGUUGAUGAUGUAGACGGCGGACAUCACACACUCACCCCACAGAUGCAGUGGCAGGCCUGCUUGAAAACGCAAGCACCGUGCCAUUUCUAGCACAUAACGAUGCCUUCGCUCAACUCGAGCAUUUUGCUGAGGACGAUCAACGCAAGACGUUUGAUGGAGAAUUCCCUUCAAAGCAUAGAACUCUCUACAGCCAGAGUCAGCAAAUUCUGGAGCGUUGUCCGAUCUAAUACUUUGAAUAUUUGCCUUGAAAUGCACCUCCACAUAAUUGUAGAAAGACUUGAUAGUUGAGAGAUAAUCAGAUUUAAAUUGCAUCAGAUAUAUCCAAGUCACCCGAGUGCAGUCAUCAACUAGUGUCAAGAAGUAUUUAUAAUUCCCCCUUGUAGCAACUUUAUACGGCCCCCAUGUGUCAAUGUGAACUAAAGCAAACUUUUUAGUAGCAUGUGACUUACUGAGCUCAAAUGGCAGCUUUACAAAUUUUGACAUUGGGCAAGUCACACAUAUUUUAUUCGUUGGUGCAACUUGUGUCUUCAAAAAAGGUAUUGAUUUGAGCUUUGCCAGAGGAGCGUGGCCCAAUCUGCAAUGCCAUAGAGCAAAGUCAGGUUUCAAAGCUGUAGUAGAAUUGUUCACCUUUGCAACAUGUGAGAUAUAGACAUUAUCCUUCAUAUAAUAAAGCCCAUUUUUCAAGGUUCCCACAGCCUUUAUCUGCUGUGUAGCAUUAUCAAGGACUUUGCAGCCUUCAGGAUGGAAAGUGACAACACAGUUGUUGUCUUGAGACAACUUAUGGAUUGAAAUCAAGUUGUGCCUAAACUGGGGUACAUAGAGCACCUUUCGAAGCAGCAGGCCAUUUUUCAAGCAUAUGUCUCCAAUAUGGGAGAUUCUACAAGCAGCCCCAGUAGGUAAUUUUAUUAUCAAAUCAGGCGGUGCAGAGUGAACAUUCACCAUAUUGUCCAAAGUGGAGGUCAUGUGAUCACUUGCUCCCGAGUCAACGAUCCAGGCACUAGUAACAAGAUUUGACAUAUGACAUGUCACCAUUCCUGAGAAACAGUUUUCAAAGUCUUCAUCCACAGCUGGAUUUUGUUGACAAUUAGCUGCAGACCCUUGAGGUAAAAGUUUGAGAAGCUGCUGCAAUUGUUGAGCAGUAAAUGCAACCUCUUCAUUGCCGGCAUCAGUAGUCUGCACAACAUUAUUAGCUUGUCUAGGUUGAGAAAAGCGAUUUUGAUUUGAGUUUUGUUGCCACUUUGGUGUUGGAGCAGAGUUCCCCUGGUUUGGCUUAUACUUUCUGUGCCACCUAGGAUAUCCCAAAACAGUCCAACACCUAUCGGCGCUGUGAUUUUUCUGCCCACACGCAGUACACGGAGGACCUUUAUACUCUGUUUGGGAACGACCAUACAUAGCAGAGACCUCGGGUUCAGCAAUGAUAAAGAGAUCUUUUUGAGAUUCCUCUUGUUGAAGAGUAGCAUAAGCAGACUCAACAGUAGGCAGAGGAUGAAGCAUUAAUAGCUGAGUUCUAAUAGAUGCAUAUGUGUCAUCUAAACCAUUUAAAAACUGAAACAAACGAGACUCAGCUUUGUGGGUAGCUAUAGCAGUCAUAAAAGUGGCUAUAUCACGAGCAACAGUGGUAACUACCGGCAUAGAGUUCAUAGAUUCAAUUUCCUCCCAUAGACUACUCAUAGCAGUGAAAUAGUCAUUCAGUUUCAUCUUAUUUUGUCUUAAGCCAAAAAGGUCUUUGUUCAGUUUGUAUUUACGAGAACCAUUACUUAACAUGAAUCUCUUGUCUAGUUGAGUCCAGAUCUCGCUAGCAGUGUUAAUAAAAAGAAUGGACUGUCGAAUACUAUCAGAAACAUUACUAUGUAGCCAAGAGAUUACCAGAUCAUUACAAGUGUCCCAUUGAGCUUCUUGUAUUGGAUCUGUUGUGUCUUUGGGAACAGUGCCAUGAAGAAAACCCAACUUGCGCUUUGCAGAGAUCUGUAUUUCAAACGAUCGUUUCCACGAACGAAAAUCUCCAGCCCCUUGAAGCUUGGUAACGCUUAUAGACAGCGGACCAUCAGAUGGGUGAAGAAAAAGAGGAUUUUGCAUAUCCGCAAAAGUAAAUCGUCCACCAUUCGCCAUGAUAAAAGAUGACAGUGAAGAAAAUAUGUUAACUUUCUCAGAUCUGAAAAAAACACAGCAAAGUGAAUAAAUAACUCAGCUAUGAGGAUGUGAGAAGAUGAAUGUGUGAGGGCUUUAUUCUAGUUGAUUCUCAAAAAGGAUAUCCAAAACUUACAUGGAAUGGCUCUGAUACCAUGAAGAGUGUUAUACUAAUUCAAGAUGCAGAUUUGGAUUCAAAGGAGAAAACAACUUUAGAUAGAAUUCCUAAACAAUCAUUCAUGUCUGAUACAAGGCAGAGCACUCACAUAUAUGGUGAGGAAAAUAGACUACGUGGAAUAUUCUAACUAACAGAAUUAGAAUGCAGACAAGUAGUGCACACAGGCAACGUCUUUAUUAGCAGAGAAGUGGUCCAACAGGAGACAGGUGUCAAGGCAAGAUGAUGAGCAGAAUUCCCUCCAAUAAAAUCUAUAUUACAAAUAAAUUAACUUUUGAUUGCUAGUCCUCUCAGGUUUCGUUCUUACCAUCAAUUUGUAGUGCCACUUUCUGUUUAUUUGCAUCUGCAGAUAAUUGACUCUCCAAAUCAUCGAUAUAUAUUGGCACCUUAAGUAGAUCAGCAUCUUCAGCAUUUGAUGGAUUCUUCACAUCCUUCAUUACUACUACUACUGAUUGAUUCUUCACAGCCCACAGUACUGCUUUGGGUGGAUCUGCAACAGAUUGGUCCUCCACCUGUUGCUCCGUAUUAGCUAUUUCAAUAAUAAUCAUGAGUAUUAUCAGGACACCUGCUACGUCAAUACAUAUUUUUGUAGCAUAUGAAAGAUCUUUCCAAAUAUUUUCCGAAGGAUGAUUUUUCAAAUUAAGCUCCAUGAAAUAGACAAAAGCAAGUCGAAGAUAUGACACAAGAACUAUAAAAUCUAAAGCAUUUGUUGUGGUGAGAACUUUUUCAGUUUUGGGUGGAGUGACGGAUUGGGAUGAUGGAGUAAGUUGAGCUCUCUUUCUUUCCACAAAGAGCUUUAGACAGUAACAGCAAAUUGCAAAUGUCGCAAAGCUUGUCAUCCAGUAAACUUUCCAAAUAUCUGCAUCCCCUGUUGCAGACUUGGAUAAAGCAACGAGUGCUAGCUUAUGUGCAACAUUCAGAUAUUCAGCUUUAUUUCUGUUCAACUGAAAAAGGAGAUUAAGCAAUAAAAUCAGAACAUUAAUGUAGAACCAAUCUAAAGCAAUACUAUAAGAACACAUAUGUCGAACAAUUUUAAAUAUAUCACGAAGUUUGUACAUGAUUUAUAAAGAAAGAAGGAGCUUGAAAUAGCAUAUCUUGUUAGACAAUCUAUAAAAACAAAGAGAUAAGACAAGUAGUGUUUGUGUGUGUAUAAUGUAAUAACAGACACAAUCGAAAUCUGAGUCCAAUGCAAAACUACCUCCUAAUGCUACAGAUGAACUCCACCGCCUGCCAGUUAGAAUUGAGCAACAGAAUUGUCACCAGAAGAGAGAGAGGACUGAGAUGUAUUUAGAAGACUCUGUUUUUUGAUGAUAAAACACUUGUGACCUAAUAUAAAUAUAUAUAGGAGCUGAGAGUUUUGUAGGCUACACAAUUUUUGUAAUUAAUUAAACAAAUAAUCUAGCAAAACUACUUUGGUUUUAAUCGGCCUAAAUUUCUGCUUCAUUCGUGUCCUUACUUCUCACACGCGGAAAAGCACGAAAAUUGCGAGGCCACGAACCUUACCUUGAUACUCAAAAUCUGCACGUGUACGUAGGUGAUGGAGCAAUACAUUACAAACACAUCUAGACACAACAAAUAUGUCCUGUUAAAUAAAAUGUCAUAUAAAAUCUUCAAACUUAAUAUUCCAUUUCAUAUUUUACACUCUUAAGGGACCAAUUUUCAGUAAUCAUGUCUCAUCCAUCCUUCAAUCAUUCUGAGUAAAUAAAUGUCCUUCAAAAAGCUCACACGAAGGACAACACUUCAAGCAUCACUCAUCACGCGCGCACAACAAUCACCUACUCAAAAUACAAUAAUUCUCAAAAUGGCUAGACAAUAUAGGGCUAAAACCCAAAUUUCUUGACAUAUCUAUCAUCACAAUUCACAAAUCAAGAAGCCAAGAAUCAUAGGUUCGCAUAUUAAAUCUACCAUAAAAAGAUGAGAUUAUCUUCCACAAAAAUUGAUACAUGAACCAUAACCUGAUGAAAAUACAUGACUAAAUAUACACAACACACCUAAGCAAAUUAAGGGAAAAACAAACUAGACGCAGUGAUAUAUUAUUAGCGGCGAAGAAUCAUAGGUUUGUUUUUUUCCUCAGCUUAAAGCCAAAACAAACAGCCUGUUUGGAUGAGUCAUAAGCUACUACUCCCUCUGUCCCUCUCAUUUCUUUAAAGUUAUUUUUUGGCACGCUUUUCAAUCCUCAUUUAAAGUAUAGUUCUAUAAUAUAUUUUUAAAUUUUUUUUGCUCUCAAUAAAAGUUUGAUAUAUAAACUUUUAUUAAAAAAAGAAAAUUUUGAAAAAAUUUAUGAAACUAUACUUUAUACUUUAUGAGAGACUCAAAAUGCGUGCAAACAGUGAACAUAAACUAUCUGGAGGGACGGAGGGAGUAUAUUUUUCAUUUAUAAACUACCACUCCCUCCGUCCCAUUGAGAUAUAUACAUUUGUAUCGGGCACGGAGACUAAGAAAAGUGUAUAAAGUAAUGUAAAAUAAUAAGAAAGAGAAAGAAAAAUAGGUAAAAUGGUGGGACCCAUUACUAUUUAAGUGAUAGAUUUAGAAAAGUAGAUGAAGUUAGUGGGUAAGUGGAAUUUUUAUAUUAUAAAAGUUUACUAUUUUAGGAAAGUUUUGAAAUGUAUAGAAUUGAAUGGGACAUCCCGAAAAGGAAAGUGUAUAGAAAUAAGAGGGACGGAGGGAGUAAUAAGCUAAGCCAAACAUCUCAGGCCUCCUUAACACCCCAAUUCUCCCCUUUUCAACCUCCUUGAUCCACCUUACUUUUCGAAAAAAAAUUCCCAAAUAUUGUUUGAAAUUUUGUUCACAACAUGGGUUCAAAUGAUAGAGCUAACUAAAUUACCGAAGCAAGAGGAAAGCACAACCUCUGCAGAUCAUCGGAGAAUCGCCGGAGAUCACCGGAGCACUGCCGGAGAUCACCGGAAAAAUGAUGAAAACUAAAAAACUUUCGGAAACAUACCUCAGAAGAGACGUUCUUGAUGAAGCUUCGGAUCAUCGAAAACAAAGCAGUGAUUCUGUCAGUGACGACGAUGACGUGGCGGUGGUAGCUGCCUUGCUCCCUGCAUGCAUAGUAAAUAUAACCAGAAAACAAGAUUAAUAACAUAAAAAGAGGCAGCACAAUCCAGCAUAAUUCCUUCACGUUAACCAUUUUGUUUGAAGCUAAUAAAAGUAUUUGGAGACUAGGUAGCUUUGUAAGAACCAGAGAGUAGUGAGUCUAGAUACUGGAGAGUUGUUGUGUUUUAUAACUAGCCUUGUUUUAUGGAAAAGGGUACACGUGUCACCUGGCUGCUUCUGGUCAAGGCUUCACAUUGAGGCAAGUCGCAAGUACAGCCUCUUCUUACAAGUUACAACUGUCAAUGCUGAGCUGGCUGCCACGACAGACGCACUUAAUGUGACUAUCAUUGGAUCUGGCCCCACCUUAAAUUCCUCAUGUACGAUUUGAUUGUUACUCCAUUUCCACUUUUCUUCGUCACGGAUGAAAUUUGAUUAGUUUUUUAUUUUUUUGAAAGGAGAAAUUUGAUUAGUUUAUUUCUCCUUUCUUUUCAAAAAAAUGAGCUUAUGUUUUUUAUGUGCUUAAAAGCAUAUUUAUUUAGAAUACGGCAGAAGAUGAAAUUCAGAAAGCUAAUUUUUUAGAAUUUUUUCUGAUGCCUCAACAACCUACCCUUUUUCUUUACCAAAACUUUAACUAACUCAAUAUUUCCUACUUCAUUAAUUCAAAAACCUAUUUCAAGUGUUUUUCGCAAACAAUUUAAGUAUGUGGUCUAUUUCAAAAUUCAGGAUAAUCUACUGUGCCUUUUGCACCCGGAACAACAGUUCUGCUUUAAGGAGUGGGUUUCUGGUUCUUGACCGGUAUAAAAAAGUAAAUCAUAUUUAAGAAAAGCAUUAAGUUAAAAGUGCUAGUUUUUUCUUGCAACUUUUACUACUAUUCAAUCUUUUUUUUCUGAUAAUCAUUUAUUUAUUUUAAAUUAAUAAACAUUACAAUUAAAUUAUCCCAACACUUAAUAAUUUAUGAUUCCGAACAUUUAAAUAACUUAAAUAUCAUAACAUAUUUAUUAUUUAUAAUAAAAACUUAAAUAAAAAAUAACUAGUAUUAAAAUUAGUCAAACUUCCCUAAUAUCUCAUACACCGAUUUCUAGAAAAACGUCUAAAUAUCUGGACUACAGAGACAGGAGAUAUUUAAAUCACAAUACACAUCACUAGUGAUGAGAAAAUUAAUUCGGAACGUGUCGUUGUACGAGAAAGCCCAAAACUAGAAACAAGUCAAGCACUUCGGCUUGUCAAGAGAGGCAGCCACAGAUAAAACCCAAAGCAUGCACGAAAAUGACAAAUAAAAAAUUGACUUGAGCUCCUUUUUUGGCCACUAUAUUUCUGUGUUUUGUUGCUUUCUUUAUUGAAGUUCUCUUUCUUUAUCUUAUCUUUAAGGUUGCCCGGUCUCUCGACAGCAAUAACUAAUAAUCAGACAGUGUCUCAUCAACCUACCCCGCCGAUAAGUCGAUAACAUUAUAGAAUAAAAUCUCGGUUGAUUAAUAAUUUAUGAUAACUAAUUAUAUUGAAUAUAAAUAUUUGAUUAUAAACUACGGAAUAAUGAUAGUAUAUAUUUGAUAGUAAAUGAAAAGAAACACUUGCAAUUCAGGUAUAGCUGUAAAAUGAAGAGGCGAAAAGAACGCUCAAAAUGCACUAACCCGAAAUCUAUAAAAGAAAAAAAGAGAGUUCCGAUCAGCUCAGGGAGGAUGGGGUGCAUAGCCGGAUUUAAAAGCCCACUUAUGAGUUUAUAAGUUAGAAAUACUUAUUCGGAUCGUUUGUAUAAAAAGUUAACAAGUAGUUAUAAGUUGUAAGUUGAUAAUACGAGCUUCUAUUUCAUGACUUUUACUUCUUUAUCAAAAACUUUAAUCACUUAUAAGUUUUAAGAGUUUUUUGGGUGAGUUUGAAAUAAAUGAUUCUUGACCUUUUACACAAACGAUACAAAUAAGUGUUUUUAACAAGAAGUCAGACUUUUAAACCCAGCCAAACACCACCUUUAAUUCGCUUCUCAACUCAUAUUUCAUUUCUUUAUUUUAACCAAAAAAAACACUUAUUUUUACGCAGAACCAAAUCAAUGGCGGAACCAGAGGGGGGCUAGGGGAUGCUAGAGCCCCCAACCUCAAAAAUAUAGUGUAUAUUUUUUUUCAGUCCCCGCUGAAUUUGUGAUGUCAAUAUAAUUUUAUUAGUCCGGCUGAAUUAUAAAUGUCAUAGAGAGGGACAUAUAUUAUAAAUGUAUAGAAAGGUCUUUCACUGUGGCUACAGUACGAGCAUAACUAUCAGUCUAUCACAUCCAAACACACACAAUACAUAUCAUAAUCUUUUAAUAUUAGAUAUAUAAAUAUAUUUCAAAUUAAUAAUUUUAUACUAAAAAAGUAAUAAUUUAGUUUUCCUCAAGUCUUCCAGAUUAUUGAGCGAGCUUGCUACAAAUCAUCAAACAAAUGUAAGAAACGCGUAAUCAUAACACAAUUGGAAUGUACUUGGUCUCAAUGAGUCAAGUAUCAAAGGUUUCAUAUAAAAACCAUCUAUUCCAAAGUUUCUAUUACAGUCAUCAAAGAAGAUGCAUCACAUUAAGAGAACAACAAAAAACAACCAUAUUCAGGCGUUAGAUCCUUGACUUUAAUCAAACAUCGGAGAAACAUAUAUUUAGAGAAUUUUAAAACAAUAUCAAUCACACACCCUUUGCAUUAUCCAGUGAUAAGAAUAUCAAAUAUAUAUUACACAUAAAUCAACUUCCAAUUGCUAUCCCUCUCAGGCCAUUCAUUCUUACCAUCAAUUUGUAGUGCCGCUUUCUGUCGGUUUGCAUCAGAUACUUGACUCUCCACAUCAUCGAUAUAGAUUGGCACCUUAAGUGGAUCAGCGUAUGAUUAGUUUUUCACAUCCUUCAUUCCUACUUCUGCUGAUUGAUUCUCCACAUCCCACUGUACUGCUUUGGGUUGAUCUGCAACUGAUCGGUCCUCCACCUGUUGCUCCGUAUUAGCUAUUUCAAUAAUAAUCAUGAAUAUUAUCACGACACCCGCUACGUCAAUACAUACUUUUGUAGCAUUUGAAAAGUUUUUCCAGAAAACUUCCCAAGGAUGAUUUUUCAGAUUAAGCUCCAUGAAAUAGGCGAAAGCUAGCUGAAGAUAUGAUACAAAAACUAUAAAAUCUAAAGCAUUUGUUGUGGUGAGAAGUUUUUCACUUUUGGGUGGAGUGACAGAUUGUGAUGGUGGAGUAAGUUGAGCUCUCUUUCUUUCGACAAUGAGCAUUUGACAGUAACUGCCAAUGGCCACUAUCCCAAAGCCUGUCAUCCAGUAAACUUUCCAAAGAUUUGCAUCCCCUGUUGCAGACUUGGAUAAAGCAAGGAGUGCAAGCUUAUAGAGAAAUUUCAGAUAUUCAGCUCUAUUUUUGUUCAACUGAAAAAAGUAGAUUGAAAAAUAAAAUUAGAACACCUAUGUAGAACCAAUAUAAAGCAAUACUAGUAGAACACAUAUGUCGAACAAUUUCAAAAAUAUCACGAAGUUUCUACAUGAUUUAUAAAGAAAGAAGGGACUUCAAAUAACAUAUCUUGUUAGACAAUCUGUAAGAACAAGGAGAUCGAACAAGUUGUGCUCGUGUGUGUAUAAUGUAAUAACAGAUACAUUCGAAGUAGACAUAAAAGAAAGGAUAUGAAUGAAUCUAAUUUUAAUGCGAAACUACCUGCUAAUGUCACAAAAGAAUGACACAACGAUGGAGCUAGAAUCUAACAAGAUAAUUAUUACGAAGAGAGAGGAAUGAGAAGUAUUUAGAAUACUCUGUUUUUUUCAUCAUAAAACCCUUAUGACCUAUAUGAAUUUACAUAGGUGCAGAGAGCGCUACACAAUUUCUAUAAUUAAUAAUUUAACACUAUUCCAAUCCUAAUCGACCCCAAUUUCUGCUUCAUUCAUCUUAGCUCACAUACACGGAAAAAACGCAAAACUUAGGAGGCCACUAAGCUUGCCUUGAAAUCCCACAACAAACACAUACAGCACAACCACAUUUAGACACAGCACAAGUGUCUUGUUAUAUAAAAUCUUGAUAUGCUCUGCUUUAUCUUUUAAACGUGAGACUUAAGAGACCAACUUCGAAUAAACAAUUUAUGUCUCACCAUACUUAAUCAUUCUGAGUAAAAAAAUGUGCUUCAAAAAGCUCAUUCGUCACGCGCACACAACAAGCACCUGCUCAAAAUGGCUAGACAAUAUAGCGCUAAAACCCACAUUUCUUCUAACAUAUCUAUCAUUACAAAUCAAGAGGCCAACCAUCAUAGGCUCGCAUAUUAAAUCUACCAUAAAAAGAUGAGAUCAUCUUCCACAAAAAUUGACAUAUAAAACACCCAUGUUCACCUAAGCAAAUUAGGCAAAAACACAUGACUUAUUUUUAGCAACCAAGGAUAUUUUCAGACAGCUUAUGAGCCCGACCAAACAGCAUGUUUGGCCGGCUCAUAAGCUACUUAUUUUUGGUUUAUAAACUAGUAAUAAGAGCUAAGCCAAGCAUCCCAGGCCUCCUAACACCCCAAUUCUCCCCUUUUCAACCUCUUAAUCCAGCCUAAUUUUCGAGAAAAAAUCGCAAAUUUUGUCCGCAACAUGGGUUUAAAUAGAUCAACUAAAUUACCGAAGCAAGAGGAAAGCACAAUCUCUUAAGAUCGCCGGAGAUCACCGGAGCAUUGCCGGAAAAUAUGACGAAAACUAAUAAAAGCUUCGGAAACAUACCUCAGAAGAGACGUUCUUAAUGAAGCUUCGAAUCAUGGAAAACAAGGCAGUGAUUCUGUCAGUGACGAUGAUGACGUGGCGGAGGUAGCUGCCUUGUUCCCUGCAUACAUAGUAAAUAUAACAAGACGACAACAUUAAUAACAUAAAAACAGCUAGUACAAUCCAGCUUAGUUUCUUCACGUUCAUCAUUUUGUUUUUGUUUCCUACAAAAGCUCGGAGCAGAGAGUAGAGAGUUAUGUACUUAUGUUGAGAGGAAGAGUUUUAUUUGCCUUAUAUAUAUUGAGUGGGAGAGCAUCUAGAAGCCAACUUCUGCUUCUACGUUAUUUUUUGGAAAAAAAGUUAGGGCGGUUUGUAUGGGAAUUUUUUAGCUUUUUUCACCACAGACAUCACUAAGUCUCAUUUAACCGCGUCACAGUAAUCACAGUGUGAACAAAGCACACACGCUAGUGCCGAGCGUGUAAAACACGAUCGGUGAUGUGGGUCGUUGUUUAUACUUGAUUUCAUCGAAUUUUAACAAUCGUCGGCAAAAGGUACCACAUUUAAAUAAGUGGACGUGUAGUCGGCACUUGUACAGUUCAGCAGUUGUGCCCUUGUGCCGAGCGUGUAAAACACGCUAGUGCCGAGCGUGUAAAACUCGUACGGUGAUGUGGGUCGUUGUUUAUACUUGACUAGUUGAGAAGCCGCGCGUUGCAGCGGCCUAUAAAAAUUAUAUUAAUGAUUUAAUAUUAAUAUUUAUAAAAAAUAAUUAUGAGGCUAUCUAUAAAAAGUAUAUUAAUGUUUCAAAUUUAAUAUUUGUAGGAUAAAAUAAAUUUUAUAUUAUAAAAAUCUUGAUGUAAUACCAAUACUAAUAUAUAAAAUUACAAAGUUGGACUAUAAUUCAUGGUCUAAAAAUGAAAAUAAAUUUAUACACGUGAUUAACAAUUUAAAGCACGAUGAAUCUUAAUUUUAUUUGUGUUUUUUUUGAAAAAGUAAUCAUGUUCUUACAUUGUCACAUUCCUCCAAUUUUUUUGGAUUGAUUGUGCACAAAAACAUGUAACGUGAGGUUGUAGUAUUGAGAGAGAGGAGGUUGUAUUUAGAUAAUGCUCCAAAACCCUACAAUUUAUAGGAGUAUUUAUAGGUGAGAGACUUGUGUGCUUCUCUUUCCCAUAAUCAAAUAAUCUGAAACAAAAUCGAUUAAAACUUUCAAUCUACUAUAUUUCAUAAAUAAUCUGAAACAAAUUCAGAUUUUGAAACUUGCUUCUAGUGUACCCGAAACUAAAAAAGGUAGUUCUAAUUUUUGAUAUUUUUCAUCCAAAAAUUCCAGAAAAUUAGAAAAAUAGAACGGAGCGAUGUGAGAGGCGUCACCUACACGCCCUUCGCUUCUUCACCAUAUUUUCCUAUAUACAAAGUAAAUCAUAUAAAAAUUAACAACAACAAACAUGUCCGAUGAACAAAAUAAAUAUUAUAAAAGAAUAACCAACAAACAUACAUCACUAAUAGUUAAUUUAUUGAUAUUAUCCAUCAAUAUCAUGUCAAGACUCCCGUGUUUGAAUUUGUCGACUCCCACCUAGCGGUCUAUAACUACAUUUGCUUGUAACAACCUUUAUUUUUUUACUACUAUAUAAACAGCCUUCACUUAUCGUUGCAGAAAAACAGCACCACCGAGUUAGAAAUCAAACAAAAAAACUAUCAUCAGAGAGAGGUAGAGUUGUGGUAUUGAGAGCGAGGAGGUUGUGUUUAUAUUAUCCAAAACCAUAAAAUCUAUUGGGGUAUUUAUAGGUGCAGAGAGACUUGUGUGCUACUCUUUCCCAUAAUUAAAUAAUCUGAAACAAAAUCAGAUUAAAACUUUCAAGCCACUAUAUUCCAUAAAUAAUUUGAAAUAAAAUCAGAUUCUGAAAUUUGCUUCCAAUAUACCCGAAACUAAAAAAAGUAGUUCUAAUAUUUGAUAAUUUUCAUCCAAAAAUUUCAGAAAAUUAGAAAAAUAAAACGGAGCGAUGUGAGAGGUGCCACCUACACGCCCCAUGCUUCUCCUUUAUAUAAGUAUAUUGAUGAUUGGAAAUAGUUUGGACUUGCAAGAUUGGAUGACAAGAUUUUCUCCAUAGCUCAUUAAUCACAAUUAAUCACCGAUAAUCAAAAUAACUCGUCGAAUUGAUUAAAAAUCUGAUUAUUCAUUUAAUUAUUAGAAUAAUUUCUUGAUUAAUCAAAUUAAUUUUUGAUUAAAUUUUAUUUUGUGACUUCAUCGAUUUAGUCUGAUUCUUACUUUUAACACUGCAUCUCUUUAUCGUCGGUUUUAUGCUUUUAACACCGCGACUCUUUGUCGUCGGUUUUAGUUGAAUUAGGUAAGAGCAUCUCUAACCAUGAAGAGUCAUUAGCUAAAAAUUUUAUUAGCAUACCAUAAAUAAAAAUUGUAGCCGAUGUCUUCAAAUAUUGACACUCCAACCACACUCAUCCAUUGUUUAUAGUUAUAGCCAACGUCUUAUAGAUAACUAAAUUUGUCGAACAUCUACAAGUCUGUAAGAAAUUUGUAGAAAAAUUACACAUCAUUUAUUAACAUAUUAAACUGAUAUAUUACAUUUGUAACAAUAUAAAUAUUAAUAAUAUACUAUUUUUAAUUAUAACCAGCCAAUAUAGCACAUACCAUCGAAGCAAAAUGUCUUACAGGUUCAGUAAAUUUUACACGUUCGGAUCAGCAAAGUCUGAGGUUUUUGACUCAACAGCGCGAGGUGAACUCCGAAUACCAGAAGUGGAUGACGAAGUUAUUGGGUUAUGACUUUGAAAUUCAGUUUAAGCCCGGGGCUGCUAAUCGAGUGGCUGACGCCUUGUCACGCAAAUCAGUUGGGGAGGUGAUACUUAACUCCUUAGUCACUAGUCAUGGCGUCAUUUGGGGCCAACUGGAACAAGAAAUAGCAAAUGACAAGGACCUCCAAACAAUUGUAAAUGAUAUACAAACAGGGCAGCGGGAGCAUCGUAAUUUCAGUGUGGUGGACAAGAGACUCCUCUUCAAAGGUAGAUAUGUCAUUCCUAUAUCAUCAUCUUUCAUUCCGCUCUUGUUAAAGGAGUAUCAUGACUCAGCGGUAGGUGGUCAUAUGGGGGAGGUUAAAACAUAUAUGAUGAUGGCUCGUGAAUGGUAUUGGAAGGGAAUGCGUACAACUGUAUCUGAGUAUGUGCAGCGUUGUUUGGUAUGUCAACAGCAGAAAUUGUCGCAGCAGUGCCCUGCAGGCCUAUUACAACCAUUGAACAUUCCAGCUAAGUUGUGGGAAGACAUAUCGAUGGAUUUCAUCGAAGGCCUACCAUUGUCGAAAGGGGUGAAUGCUAUAUUGGUGGUGGUGGAUAGAUUGACCAAAUACGCGCAUUUUUUGGCGUUGAAACACCCAUUUGAUGCUUGUUCAGUGGCCAGAUUGUUCAUACAAGAGAUUGUGCGAUUACACGGGUUUCCCGCGUCGAUCAUAUCUGACGGAGACAAAAAUUUUUUAAGCACAUUCUGGAAGGAGUUGUUUCGUCUCCACGGGACAGAUCUCAAGCGUAGCACGGCUUACCAUCCACAAACGGAUGGCCAGACUGAAAUAGUCAACAAAAGGCUUGAGACUUAUCUUCGUUGUUUUAUAGGGGGAAGGCCAAAAUUGUGGGCGCAAUGGUUGCCAUGGGCUGAAUUUUCGUACAAUGUCACCCCUCAUUCGUCAACAAAGAUCAGUCCGUUUAAGGCCUUGUAUGGCCGAGACCCACCAACUAUUCUGAAAUUAGAACAGGGUUCUACAGUAGUGGGUAGCUUGGAGGAAAUGCUUAGUGAGAGGGAUGCCAUUUUGGACGACCUGCAUUUUCAGUUGGUGCAAGCCCAGAAUCGAAUGAAACAGGCAGCAGACCUGCAUCGAAGAGAGGAGUCUUUCCUGGUGGGGGAUUUAGUUUACUUGAAAUUACAGCCAUAUCGCCAACAGUCUUUGGCUCGGCGACCCAAUGAUAAGUUAGCUGCAAGGUUCUAUGGUCCUUUUCGAGUGCUGCAGAAGAUAGGAUUGUUGGCAUACAAGUUGGAGCUUCCGGAUGCCUGCAAGAUUCACCCGGUCUUCCAUGUGUCACAGUUAAAACGUUCAGUUGGGCAGUCCCCAGUGUCUCCGACCAUCCCUGCUCAACUUACUGCUGCAAUGGAGCUAAAGGUGGAACCAGAGUUCCUACUGGAGGUUAGACAGAGACAGGAAGGUGGUUCGACUCGUUUGGAAGCAUACAUUAAGUGGAAGGAUUUACCCCUGUUUGAAGCUACGUGGGAGGAUGUGAGUGUUGUAGCUCACCAGUUUCCUUCCUUCCACCUUGAGGACAAGGUGCGUCUUUGGGGGGAAGGUAAUGUGAUACACGAAGUCAAAGAGAAGGGUACGCUAAUGUAUUCCAGAAAGAACAAACAGAAGUAAGGGCAAAGUGGUCUAUUAACGAAGUAAGUCAACAAGUGGCAGUCAAAGGGCAGUUUGGGGAAAGAAGCUGGAGAAGGGAGAUAAGUGUGAGGAGGAUUAGCAAUUAGGGUAUCGAUUGAGUAAUCUCUAUUGUAGUAACCAACAGGAGCGUCUGGCUGCUCGAAAGUCCAGUUUAUCAUUUCCAGUACUGUUUAUUGCAUUCAUAUUAAGUAAGGGUUUUAUAUCAAAUAGGCCACUCAUCUCGUUAAAAACUCUCAAGUGGCACAUAGGUCUCAACGGGGACUCUAUUAAAACACUAAUCCACUGUUAAAUAUCCCACCGUUAACUUGUUAAUUUAAAUUUGACGGAGGUGGUGACCUGGCAGCAGUGCAUAGGGCAAUAGAUGUGACCUGGCAGUUUGUCUCCAACGGCUAGCUUGACCACGUCUUCAGUAUAUAUACACAGACAUAUAGCAGCAGCUUGGGUUAGGGUUCUUCACCAUCUCUUUAAUAAAUCUCUUUCGAUAUAACAUAACUAUCUAAUUCCUUUUAGACCUAACAUCAGCAUCAUUCAAAAGCUUAAACCCCCAUAUCAACCAUGUCGAACUCGUCAUCUGCUAUGCCAAUCACGUCGAACCCUAACAAAGUUUGGGUCGUUUGUGAUUGUGGCUUGAAUGCUCGAGUUCGAACCUCGUGGACUACUAACAACCCAGGAAGACGUUUUUGGGGCUGUCAGAAAAACAAGGUUAAAUCCUAUUUAUUUAAUCUUAUUUUGUUGUAAAACUUUAUAAUUAUUGUAAUUUUAAUCUUUUAGGAUGAAGGAAGUUGUAAUUUUUUCAUGUGGAUGGAUGAAGAAGUGUGUGAAAGAGCAAGAAGUGUGAUACGCGAGCUGAACCACAAGACUACCAUGCUUGAAGAGAAGAUUUCAAAAUUAGAGAGAAAGUUGUGUAAACAAAAGAGGAAGACACAGAUGCUAAAAAAACAAAAGCAAGCUCAAUAUUUUGUAUUCUGUAGUGUACUAAUAUGUAUGCUGGCAGUUUUUGUGAUGUUAGUUGUUAAGAAAGAAAUAAGCAGUGGUAGGAUGGAGUAUCUUGCUUGAACUGUUGCAUGUAAACAAUUAAAUUUAAUAGCAAUUGAUUUGAUCCCAUAAUUAUCAUCCAAAAUACCCAAAGGAGAUUACAUUGUCUGAGCAAAAGCAACAUUAACCAACAUUGUCUCAAGUACAUAAACCAAAAGACACCACACAUAUAAAUAGUCUAAUAGUCUAAUGACUUAGCAAAAUAAGUGCCAGAGGCAAGCAGUCUAUUCAAAAUAAUUAGAUAGCUAUGGAUCCAAAAUGAAUGGAUCAUCAGGGGUCGUGUUCUUCUUGUUAGACUUGUUCUUUUUGAAUAAAACCUUCUUCAACCUUGCGCUUCUCCUAGGAGGUGCUUCAUCUUCACUCUCACUCUCACUAUAGACUUCACUCUCACUAUCACUUGUAGCCUUGUUAAGAGGAGUGUCACCUGAUUCUGCAGGGGGGGGUGGAGUUGGAUUAACAACCUCAUUUGCUUCUGAAGCUUGCUUAAGGGUGACAUAUUGACUUGUCUGUGAUGCCUGAGUUGGAAUGACUUCUGGAUUCAUGUUGUUGACAGUUGCUUGUGGCCUUCUAAUAGGCAGUUUUUGCCUGAGUUCUAAUAGGCAGUUUUUGCCUUCUUUUGAAAUAUUCAGAGACAAAAUCAGAUGGCUGCAUCCUUCUAUCAUGUAUGGCAGCUACUGCAUGUGGACAUGGUAUCCCUUUGAGGUCGAACACCCUACAAUCACAACUUCUCUUGUCCAAAUCCACAGUGACAGCUCUAGAGCCACUCUUGACCAAGUACCUACUUGCUCCAUCCCAGGAUGCUCUCCACUCCCUUGACUGUUUGACAUAUUGGUCAAGCUGCUUUUUUAUUCUAGGACAAAUUUGCAUAUCAGAUGCCAGCAUCUCCUCCCUCUUUUCCCUAACCCUUGUCAUCAACUUAAAAUGUAUUUCCUGCAUCAUAGUCAGUAGAGGCAAGUACCUAGCAAUAUACAAGUAGAACAAUGUUUCAAUGUACAACUCACUUAGUUUUAUGUAAAACAGUUUAUAAGUUUAUAAAUUCAUGUACCUUUCAUUAAUAAUCCAUGAGUUGAAACAUUCAGACAUGUUGUUCUCAAUGUUGUCAGCCUUAGGAAUUGUUGAAAUGUGAGCUUUUGUCCAAACUGCAGGAUCCAAUUUCAAAAGUUGCUCAUACGCAGGUUUGCAUGAAUCUGUGCUUUCUACUUCAACAACUGCAUGACAAAUGGGGUACAUCUGGUUGUUCCCAUCUCUACCAACAGCACUCAACAGUUGACCACCACAAACAGUCUUCAAGAAGCAUCCAUCAAGUCCUAUCACAGGUCUACAGCCUGCUUUCCAACCUUUCUUCAGUGCAGAGUAGCAUACAUACAUCCUUUGAAACCUAUUCUCAUCAGUUUCAUUGACUCUUGUGCCACUAAUCUUCACAGUGUUGUGUGGAUUUAUCUUGAGCAAUUCCUGUCCAAAGUCCCAAACUCUAGAAUAGUGCUGUUUGAGUGAAUCAUGUACACCUUCUAAGGCUGCCUUCCUCAGUCUCAUAGCCUUUAUCCAUGGAAUAUCAAUUUCCAUUUCUUGCCUUAUGGUUUCAAUCAUCUCUUUAACUUUCCAAGUUGGAUUCUUUCUUAUUCUCUCACCAUACUGCUCAGUUAGGAACUUCACACUAGCAAGUCUAUUCUUGUAUGGCUUGGUGCAUAAAUGAUCAUUCAACAAUGUUCUAAUUUCAACCAGUUCACUGUCUCUCUUCUUUCUAACCCAAAUGUAAAAAGGACACCCAGGUUCACAUUUCACUUGGCACCUAGUAGGAUCAUUAGCACAGACUCUCACAGCUCUUCUUUCCUUGAUCCCAUACUCCCUAACCUGUUCUCUGAAUUCAAUCAUAUUAACAAAUGUCAUCCCCACUUCCCAUUUGAUUCUCCCCCUUCUGUUCUGAGAGGAAGCACCUAUCACAGUUCUUCUUCUUUUUUUUCUUAUCACAGGUGGACCAACAUAACCUAUCUUCCUAUUCUCAUCUUCACUUGAACUACCAAUUGACCUUAACUCAUCACUAUCAAAGUCAUCUUCACUGUAGUUGCACUCUUUCAUCCCCUCCUUAACAGAUUUGUAAUUCUCCUUGUUCACUGCAAACUCUUCGUCACUAGCAUCAUCAACAUCUGACCCUCCACUGUAAAGCUCAUCAGUUUCUUCUUCACUUUCAUACUUGUAUGCAGGGUCAUCAGGAUCACUGUCUUCACCACUCCCAAACUCUUCCUCAUAUUGCCUUAAAAUUUCUGCAAGGUCUUCAUCCCCUGCACUUCCCUCAUCACCCCCCUCAGCACCUCCCUCACCAUCCCCCUCAGCACCACCCUCACCAGCAAGUUCCUCAUCAGUCAAUGAACUGUCCACAUACACUUCAAUCUUACCAUAUUGACUACAUACACCCACCAUGUCCCUAAUAGAGCCAUCAUCAUACAAGACCCUAACCCCAUUACUGAAAUCAUGCCCAUUUGUUUUAAAAUACACUAAACUCUCAGAAUUGUACCCAAACUGGAUAGCCCAAUCAUCCAGGUCUCUAAAGCUCAGCAAGUCAGUGUCUACAUUUGGUAUGAGAUCACAUUUCCCCCCAAUAUAGUAACAUAGUGGUUGGGGGGGAAAUUUACCAUGGUGAUUAACUUCAAUAUUCAUCAAGCUUGACAUCCUGUGAAUAUACAAAAUCAACACUGUCUAGUUCAAUAUUUUAAAAACCCUAACAAAAACAUAACAAAACCCCAACAAAACCCUUACACAUACACACAAUAUAUAUACAAAAAACACAAUCGAGCUAACUACAUCCUAACCCAUCAAUCAACAUACACUACAUAACUCAUCCCAAUGCAUAAUAAGCAAAACCCAUUCAAAUAUGAGGGAAAAAAUGCAAAAAAGAUAGUUCACUGUUCAUAAAACCCUACUAACCUUUUUUGAUCGGAGUGGAGAAACGAAAUAAGCUUCGUUUCUGGUGCUUAAAUCUUCAGUCGAACCCCCUUAAGCUUCGUUUCCGGUGCUUAAGCCUCAAUCGCAGCAGCACAGAGACCUUCCCCAAAUCGCAUGAACCCCUUAAGCUUUUGUUUGCAUGUGUUUGUAACUUGAACAGUCACGACUGAUAUAUAUGGAUACGCCUUUCUUUUUUCUUUUUUUACUUAAUGUUUUAUUUUUUAUUAUUGCAUACAGGUCACUGCCACACCGCUUAUGAGUCAUCGCCACGUGUAGUGCCAUCUGUGUAAAUAGAGCCGUUGUUAACGGAGUAGCUUUGAAUUAAACAGUUUCCGUUAAAUUUAAAUUAACAAGUUAACGGUGGGAUAUUUAACAGUGGAUUAGUGUUUUAAUAGAGUCCCCGUUGAGACCUAUGUGCCACUUGAGAGUUUUUAACGAGAUGAGUGGCCUAUUUGAUAUAAAACCCUAUUAAGUAAUUGCUGCUAUCUCUAUUGUUUGGUGUGGAUUAUCGUAGUGAAUUCAUUACAGUUUAUCACUCGGCGAUCUUUUUUUUGAAUGCACAAAAUAAGAUAUACUUAAAAAUAUGAUUAUGCAUGAUAUGGGGUUCGAAUGAGGAAUCGGGUUAAGCUGGUAUGGGUUUGAGAUAUCAUUUCUGAUAUCAGGUGUUUGGUUAAGUAGUGGAAUGAAUAUGGUUGAAUUAUAAUAUUUAUGAGUUAUUAAUUGUAAUUAAUUUAAAAUAUCAUGAAAUUAAUAUUCAUAUACAUUUUUAAGUCAUUAAUUUCAUUUUGUGUUAAAAAUUUACAAGAAAUAAGAUAAAUAAUACUGAAAAUAAAAGAAAAUAAUUUUGAUUCCUGAAACCCACAUUUCAUACCCACCUCCCCCUUUGGGUAUGAAAUUCUCAUACCUUGUGGGUUUGAGGAAUGGGUUUGAUGAAAUAAAAUUCUCAACCAAACACCAGGUAUGGGUUUGGAAUGAACAAAACCCAUACCUGAUACCAGGGAAGCCUGAACCAAACGACCCCUCAGAAGGAUCAGAAAAGUUACAGUUCAAAGACUACGCGCACACAAAACAUAUCAUAUAAAGUGCAUUCCUGAUUUCUACUCCCGUUUAAGUAUUUUUUUUAAUUAAUUAUCAUGUUGGAGGCGUUACAUACUUGCAUGGAAUAUAUCCUGUACAACGUUGUUUUGCAAGAUCCAGGCCUGCUAAAAACCGCACUGAACAGUAUGGAAGAGUUAUCAUUAUUUAAUACUUCCUCCAUUCUCUCUAGUCUUUUUUACAUGUCCAUUUUCAAAAUAAAUUUUGUUUUUAUUUACAUGUCCAUUUUCAAAAUAAAUUUUAUAUCUAUUUAUAUGUUCAUUUACACUUUCAAUAUAUAUAAAAAUAUAUUUCAAAUUAAUAAGUUUAUACUAAAAAAGUACUCCAUCAUAUUUUGCUCAUGAGCCAGCUUGCUACAAAUCAUCAAACAAAUGUAUUUAACUAGCACCGCAACCAAUUAACCUCCAUCACAUGAUAUAAGAAACGCGUAAUCAUAACAAUUGGAAUGUACUUAAUCACCAAGGAGUUAGAGUAUCAAAAGUUUCAUAUCAAAACUAUCUAUUCUAAAGUUUCUAUUACAGCCAUCGUAGAACAACCACAAACAACCACACUCAGGCGGUAGAUCCUUGACUUUUAAUCUAACAUCGUAGAAAAUGCAUAUAUUUAGAAAAUUUCAAAGCAAAAUGAAUCACACACCCUUUGCAUUGUUCCGGUGAUAAGAAUAUCAAAUAUAUAUUACAGAUAAAUUAACUUUUGAUUGCUAUCCCUCUCAGGUCAUUCAUUCUUACCAUCAAUUUGUAG